UGCCCCAUGGCUUAGCUUGGUUAAAGCGUCCGACUGUUAUCGUUUCAAAAGUGGUUUCAUCGGAAGGUCGUGAGUUCGAGCCUCACUGGGGCAG